UGGAAAUGACUGCAAAGGUUCUGAGGGUUUCUUUUGUUUUUUGUUUUUGUUUUAGAGAUCUGGUCCCUUAUGAAACAAACAGGUACAAGGUAAACUAUUUUUCAAGUCAAUCAGUAGUUAGACUACUCAUAGUCAGGUUUCUUAGGAGAUAGAAGCAUACAUUCUAUCUGUGUCUUUUAGUUGUCAUGGAGACAGGCACAAGAAAGCAGCAACAAAGCUGGUCUCCUAAGGAUGUCUGAUGACAGAAUACCUAGAUAAGACCAGAAAGACCUGUUGGAGAUCCUAAGUAAAUGGGAGAUUGAAGUAGUCUGGCCAAGAUUUCCUUUCUGCCACUUCCCUGGGAACCAAACUACUUUCUGUGAUUUCAAGACUUGAUUUUAAACAAAUAAGAAACUAAGAAACAACAACUCUUUGAAUACAUCGAUUCCUCUCCUCUGUCCUGCUUCCAGUUCUGCUAUGGAAGAGCCAACAUCUAAGCUGACCGAAGUCAUCUCAGAGCCCACAGUUGAACUGGAAAAUGAGCUCAAAAAUACCAAUCUGUCCAACCCAUUAGAGAAGGCAAAGUCAGGCAAGAGGGUUGAGUGGUCAAGUGACACUAUUGAUAAUGAGCACUUGGGCCGUCGCUCUUCCAAAUGUUGCUGUGUUUAUGAGAAGCCACGUGCUUUUGGUGAAAGCUCUUCAGAAAGUGAAAAAGAAGAUGAUGACAACUGUCAUAUACUCUGUGCCUGGGGUCAUCACAAGGGAAGACGCCGUGUUCUUUCAAGUACUGAUGCUAGUACUUCAUCUUCAAAGCCUCAAGAUCCAUCUGAAUCCGUUCCUUCCCCCAUUAA